CACAGGGGCGUGACCUUUCUUUAGGACAUGGAGGGUUUGAACACCCCAAGGCUGCACAGUAAUCCUCUCCUUACAACCAUGUGCAGGCUGCGUUUAAUUAGGUCCCCAGCAUGUACUGCGCCUGUGGUCCAGUCCUCCAGCCCCUGGAGCCUGGCUGAGAACCGUUUUCCCAUCUGCCUUCACUGGUGGCUGAAGGCCUUGCUCAUAGCUUCAUUAGAGGCAGGUCUAAACAUCACACUGGUCGUAUGAAGUCACCUGUGGUAGGAAUAUUUACACCACGGAGAUCGGCAAGUGCCAAGAUCAUAAGCCUGUUGUUCAAUAUCACCCAGCACUCCAUGAGGCAUUUCCAGCAGAGGGCGCUCUCGUGCGGCUGGGGACCAUCAGAGUCUCUGGCUAGAGAAACUGAAGCCUGGCGAGAUGCCUAUUCCAGGUUGUGUGGGAGAUGUGUUGUGGAGCCAGCAUGCAAACUCAGACCCAUUCUCCCCCAAAGCACAUGCUCUUCGGCACCAAAUGGAGAGGAAUGCGCAGUGCUAUGUUCUGAAUAUGUCCCUGGAAGUGCAGAUGUUGAAACUAAAUCCAGGUUGUGACAGUGUUACGAAGUGCAGUUUUAGGAGAAGCUGAGUGACAUUAUAAAAAGGCUGGGGAGAACUUGCUAGUCCCUUCUUGCCCUCCCAUCCCUUCUUCCAUGUAAGAACACUGUGUUCCUGCUCUCCAAAACAUGCAGUGUUCACGAUACCAUCUCAGAAGCAGAGAUCGCCCUGCUGACCAGACAUGGAUACUUCUGGUUCCUUGAUUUUACACCUCCAGUCUCCAGAUCAGUGAGGAAUAAAUUUCUGCUCAUUAUAAA